CCUACGGGUGGCUGCAGUGGGGAAUAUUGCGCAAUGGUCGAAAGACUGACGCAGCGACGCCGCGUGGAGGAUGACGCCCUUCGGGGUGUAAACUCCUGUUGCUCGGGACGAACCUCCCUUUUCGAGGGGACUGACGGUACCGAGUGAGGAAGCACCGGCUAACUCUGUGCCAGCAGCCGCGGUAAUACAGAGGGUGCGAGCGUUGUCCGGGGUCACUGGGCGUAAAGGGCGGGUUUGCGGCUUGGUAGGCGAAAGUUCGGGGCUCAACCCUGAGUCUGCCGUGCGAACUGCCGAGCUGGAGCACGGUAGAGGCACAUGGAAUUCCGGGUGUAGCGGUGGAAUGCGUAGAGAUCCGGAAGAACACCGGUGGCGAAGGCGGUGUGCUGGGCCGUAGCUGACGCUGAGGCGCGACAGCGUGGGGAGCAAACAGGAUUAGAUACCCUUGUAGUC
rnacentral:rRNA from 1 species